rnacentral:rRNA from 1 species
UACGGGGGGGGCAAGCGUUGUUCGGAAUUACUGGGCGUAAAGGGCUCGUAGGCGGCCAACUAAGUCGGACGUGAAAUCCCCAGGCUCAACCUGGGAACUGCGUCCGAUACUGGAUGGCUUGAAUCCGGGAGAGGGAUGCAGAAUUCCAGGUGUAGCGGUGAAAUGCGUAGAUAUCUGGAGGAAUACCGGUGGCGAAGGCGGCUUCCUGGCCUGUCCCUGACGCUGAGACGCGAAAGCUGGGGGAGCGAACGGG